CAGUACAAUUUAUUUUUUUAGCUUUAGGUUUUGUUUAUCUUCCUGUAGUCUUGAAAAGUAUAAGUAUUUUCUGCUGGCCUUCCGGAAGGGCCCCAUCUAUUGUGAUACAGUAAUAUCUCAAGUGGCAUUUCCUGCUUGUUUCCAGUCAUAUGGGGGAGAAACUUGUAGAACCAGGUUUCUCCGUGAGGCAACAAGAGCGAGAGAGGGACCUGGGGCUUUCCUCUCUCCCAGCUCAGCUGCUGUUGUAUUAAUUUCAGGUUAAUUACAAUAGCAUUAUCUCCGCUUUCCAACUGCAGAUAAAGCUAAAGGGCUGUUGUGUAUAUAAUUGGUUUAAGAGGAAAAGGGUGAUUUUGUUGGUAUUUCACAAUCCCAGGUUCACUGUCUGCGUUUGCCUCCAAAUUAGAACAGUCAGGCUUCCGCGUGAACGCCUAAACCUCUUAUUAAACCCUAUUAGAGAGGAACUUGAAAUUAAUUAUCAUGUGUUUCCCGCCUUGUGUGUCACUGACAAAGCUCUUUCUCCAUCUGAGUGCUGCAAACAUACUGAUUGCCUCCUUUCACUGUGCAUACCACUGUCUAAUAUAAUAACAACAUUGCAGUAUCUCAGCCAAGCCCCAGAGGACUAUAUCACUGUAUAUUUUAAUAACAUAGAUGCUUUCAUUUCUUUAACUGUUUCAGAUGACCUUCAUGUUUUAAAGAGCAGGACAUAAUUGAGGAAAACUGGAAUCAGGGUAAUUUUUUGGUCCUUGAUAUAUCCUUAGAUCAGAUUCUUGUGAGUUGUGGAUCAUAGCCUGAAAGCCCACAUGGGUGUUCCAGCAUAAUCACUAUAAUACUGAUAGUUCUGUAUUCACCUUUCAUCUUGUCAACUAUUGUGCUGCAGGGGUACCUGAGUGUUAAUUCUGGGAGUUUGUUCAUGCAGUCAUCUUCUGCUGCAUUCUGAGAGCCUUCACAUACUUACCACCUUCUACAAAUGCAUACAAGCCUGUGUAUGAAAUUGUUAUAAGGAAGCAAAUGCAUUUUACAUGUAGGUUAAACCACAAGGAUACACACAGAGAGUUGACUGGAAUGACGCUGAAUGUAAACAUGACAUUUUUUUGCUUACAAAAAAGCUCUGCAGGGCAUCUUGAAGCUAUUUGUAUGCCUCCGUACCGGACAACAUGGACAACAAACAUGGACUCAUUUUAUUGAUGGCAGUUUGAAUUAGAUCCCUUGAUGUCCUUUGUCGAGCAGUUCAUCCCCCGCCAUCACCUCAUGUUGCAGCUUGAUAAUGCACGGCCCCAUGUUACAAGAACGUACACGAAAUUCCUGGAAGCUGAAAUCAUCACAGUUCUUGCAGAGCCUGCAUACUGAUCAGACAUGUCACCUACUGAGCAUGUUUGGGAAUGUCUGGAUUGAUCUGCAGGACAGUUGCAGUUACUACCAAGAUCCAACAAAUUUGCUCUUUGGGAAGGAGUGGACCAACAUUGCACAGGCCACGAUCAACAAUGUGUUCAACUCUAUGUGCACUGCCUGAGGGAAAUGGUGGUCACACCAGAAACUGACUGGUUUUCUGAUUGUGAACUGUAGAACUGAGAAGUACUCGACUUCCACUUUUUGAGUCUGGGGAGCUUUGGGGAUAGCGAUAGUCUUUAUUGUACAUUUUUAAAUUCAUGCACUUUGUGCUGCCCUGCACUUGAAUUCAUACUUUGGUCAGAUUCUGUUCUUUGUAUUAUGGAAUGGAUUUCGCAAAUGGCAACUAUAAAAUUGCCAGGUUCCACAUAGAGGAGUCAGUUUUACUUCUGUGUCAGAUAGCAACUUCAUCUUGUUGGAGCUAAGUGGUCAUACUGAGGUGUUUGUUUUCAUCUGUAUCACGAUGGCUAAAUUCUACGUAUACAUACCGGAAGAACUGCUGACGGUAGAACUGGUGACUGAACUCGAACUUUCAGACCUGGUUACUCAUAUCUGCCUCCAACAUCCAGAGAGUUCUUCUUUUGCGAUGAGAGGCACAAAAACUUUAUCUGUUUGGCAUCGUCUGGACAGAAUUGAGACUUGCGUGGGCUUGGAAAGCAGAGCGGCCACAGUCCUCUGUGAGAAGGAGAAAGAAAAGGGCUGCUUUGCCAUGCACACAGAAGAGAACACCAGUGAGGAGAACAUCAGAUGCAUUGGGCACUCCAACAUGGAGGUUCACCUCCCUUAAGUUGAGUUAGCUGAGGGGUUAUCAAGGAGAUCGAGGACCAUGAAAAAGAGCCUGAAAAAGGAGGCGAUAUCAGGAAUGAUGCACAGGAAGAUGUAUGCAUAUCGCUGUUGCAGGAAGAAGCAGCAGAGCCAGCAGACGGACAGCUGAAAGAACUGGCAAACCGGUCCCAAGCAUGGCAAAACAACCUUGAGACUGAAGGACUGGAUAAUUUUGAUGACAUUGCGAAUCUUGCAGAGGAUCAAGAGCCAAAUGAAGAUAAGAGCGUUCGGAGACGCUUUCUGAAUUGGCUCAAUGAUCUGGUAGAGGACCACCUCACAAGGAAGAUCGCAAGAACAUACCAAACAGAGAUGGUGGAGGAUGAUAAGAUUUACAGAAGUAAGAUAAUCCAUUGAAACACUGAAAAUCUUUUUUUUCCCAAGUACAUUUUUGAUGUUGCAUUGUGGCAAAUUUUUACUAAUCUUACAUGGCUCCACCAAUGACCCAAGCUCAGAAAGAACGACGGAAAAGACAGAAGCUGAUCUAUCUUAAUAACCAGAGACAGAGAGUGAAGAAACUCGUGGACAGUUACUGGAAGAUUCAGAGAUACCAGAAAGAAGCUCAGAGAGUCGAAGAAGAGGGGCGUUAUGAGAAGUGGGUGAAUGCUCAUGGAUGGAACGUGCCUGAUGCCUCACCAGAUCAGCUUGAGGGAAAGAUGACCAAGUGGGAUUUCUAAGAAUGAAAGACUUCUUCGCCCACACACGUAUGAAGAGUUUUUCAUAUGCGUGAGGGCAGCACGGUGGCUCAGUGGUUUGUGCUGUCAUGAUAUGAAAUGAUUAAAACUACUCUUACAUCAUGCGUUGUCUUAAUCUGACAGUUAAUUGCAUCUUUUUAGAAUAGGAAACCUGACUACACCAGGUUGAUUAUAUUUGUAAUCACAUGAUCUGAAUUAUGAAAUCAAGUCCACACUGUUGACACUUGCUGCAAUGACUUGACUAAGAAGUUAAUAACAAGAAUACAAUAUGUGUGUGAGAGAGCGAGAGAGUUGGCUGAUGUAGCUUCCUAUGGUCUGAGGUUGUGAGGUCAGUUAAAGUGCUGCCAAAUUCUCAGAAAUGACAUCGGAAAUGUCUUACGGUAGUGAAACAGUUUUGAGUCUGCACACCUCCUCAAAGUGUGUGAUGCUUAUGACACUGUGUUGUGUGAUAAAACCACACGUUUUAGAGUGGUCUUUUAUUGUGACCAGUCUAAGGCAUACCUGUACAAUAUUCAUGCUGUGUAUCUAUUUUUUUUUCUACCAAAAAUACACCCACCAACUGUUUUGCCAAACAUUAGGGAGUAUUCAUCUACUCAUGGACUGGAGGGCAGGUAACUAAGCUAAUUAAGCUUGCUAAUGCUUCCGGACCACAAGCCGAUUGCCUUCUAGUUUAUGUCUUGUGAUGUGAAAUCCAAAAAGCAAAGCCAAGCAUUAAUACAUUUGUGAAGGAUUCUGAUAUGAUACACACAGAUUUGAUUCUAUAGGUUAUCUUUGACACUACCUUAGAAAUAUUAUAUAAUAAUACUACUCUUUAAUACUACUCUUUAGUGUGCAUCAUGUUCAGUGGAUACAGAGGACAUAGGAUUUAGAGUUUGCAGACAAUGAGGAGAUGCACUAGAAGCUGAACCUUCUGCCCACCCUCCUGCCCCUUUCACCCCCCGGCUGAUGUUUCUCCUGUUGGCCUAAGAGCACUUGACAGAUCCCUGAAGAAUACCAGUCAGUCCUGCUGCAGAGCUCUCUGCGGCGAGCUCCGUCUCACGACCAGCAGGGCUCAUCAGAAAAACACAGUUAACACCAGCAAUCUCACCCAGCUCACAUUCGGCCCAUACAAAUGACUGCACCAGGUUGAUGUCAGACAAGGGUAUGUUUGUUUCCUACUCCAGUCAUGUCCUCUAAAGCACUGCAGCCUCUAAAGUCUCAUUUAAAAUAAUUUUGCAAGUGAAUGUAGGAUAUGAAGCCCAAGUUCCAACCCCAUAUUUGAAUUUAUAACAUCUUACCCCUGAAAUCACUGAGGUAAUUUCAGCAUAGACAGGAAGAAAAUAUGGCAGCUUCACUAUUACUGCACCAGUCUGAAUGUGGGAACAACUUCAGACUUGAGCCCUAUAUGAUGCCUGUACUGGAUAUUGCUGUCUUCACUUUGGAAAGCUGAAAUUAAACUACUGUGUACUGCACUGAGGUGAUGCUCAGAAUGAGUGAGAUUUUGUGGUUAAGCGUAGUCAUGUAGUCUCAUGCUAUUAAAUAUCAUUUUACAUGCAGAUCUCUUUAGUAAGACUGGCUUAGCCAUUUAUGGUCAGAUACAACCUUUAGACCACUGUGUGUGUGUGUGUGUGUGUGCAUGUGUUUGUGGGUGUG